UGCUUGGUGGAUGCUUAUUCAUUGGAUUCAAUGAAUUAAGAAGAAAAUUCAAAUUUUUCGGAAAUUACUUUUUUUUUAUCAUUAUUAUUUCUUUCGAAAUGGACUCGAUUACAAAAAGAAAAAUAUAUAUCUGUGUGAUGAAAAAAUAAGAAUGAAACUUUAUAUAUGUUAAAAUCAUAAAUAAAGAUUAAAAGGAUCAAUGUUUGUAUUUGGUGAAGGUAGCGUGUAGUCACGUUGUUUUCCAUUUGCGUGGCGAGUUGUCGGUUCACAGAAACCAGAUUUUUCUAAGGAUAGUAAUGCCGAUGGUAAACACCUUCUACUUCGCACGAAAGGGUUCGGUACUAUUUUGGCGUGUAAGAAGAUAUAUUCUAAAAUUUGUAUAAAGACGGUGUUACUUCACUAUAUCGAGUAUUAUACUAUAUAUACUAAGAAGAGAAAGUACGAAGUGCCAUAGUUUACUUUAUCCUAUAUCGACGGCCGAAUCCUUAGAAACGAGAUGAGUUUAUAAGGUUUUAAAAACAAAUUUGUACGGUUUGGAUCCGUUCGUUUCAAAAUUUAAUUUGAAAAAGUUCUUUAAAAAAAGAAGGGAAGACCGAGUUACUCGGCCAUUCUUUCUACUAAUAGUUUUCCUCUUCUCGACACCAUGGAUAAAACUAAAAAAUUCCAGUACCUAAAAUAUAUUUUUAUUUAAUAGCCAACCUAUCUAGUAGUAGCCUAGGUAUAGGCCACUAUAAUAGUUUUCAUUUCGGAAACAUCGACUGGGAAACGUUGCCCUUAAGGUCUAAUCAAAAUUCUGGCUGUUUGAUGGAAAAAACUUUUUCCUGUUAUUACUUUUAUAUUAAAUUCUUAUUAAAAUAUUAAAAAAAAAAAUUUUACGCCGAACGCGAUAAUUAUUCAUCUGCCAACUUGGUUUACUUUUCGAUGGAACAAGGCCAUUGUACCACCGAAUAACCUAUUCAAUUAAUUUUCCUAUUAAAAGUUAUUCGACAAUAAAAGAAAGGUCGAAUGUUUAACCCGAUAAUUAAAUAUUUUUAUUUCUUUAUUAAAUUAAAGAAAAAAUUGACUAUAUUUAAUUAUGGACAAUUUUUGACCGCAUUAAAACUGAAGUCGCAUUACCGACAAUGCGCGGGUCUCGGACACGCUGAUCGUGCGGAUUUCUGAACAUUUCGGUCCCCGUGCGUGUUGUUUGUUGUGUACGUGGUCUUGUUAUAAGCGACUUAGGGCCUGGGCUCAAGGUCGUGGCGGGGAAAGGCUCUUCAUUCCCCAACUUGGGAUUAGAAUCCAUUAGUGAGGAGCCCGGGGAGUCUCCCAUCCCAACGGGGUUGUACCAGACGAUCUGAUGUGUGGUGCCGAGGUAUGGAGCGUGACAUCAUCAGAAAUUCCUCCUUCCGAAAAAAAAAAAGUUGGGAGGAGGAAAGAGGAUGCAUUAAGCGCGGAAAGCAAUAACCUUUAUUAUCGUUUAUUGAUUUCGUAAUUCAUAAGCGCGUAUAAGUAAUUAAUAAGCCGUUUGGCUUUAUCGCCAUACAUAAAUCCUUAACGGAAUGUUAAAAGAUGCAAACAUAUAACCAAUUUUUACACACCGAGUAUAUACGUAUUAGUUACAAACUGAGAACUGCAUAUGUUUAAACGAGAGUUAUCUAACAGAAAUUUUGAAAACUUCCAAAUCAGUUGGUGGUAUCAAACGAUUGAUUGAGAUAAGAAGAAUCUAUCUAUGCGAAAAUUCUUGUUUCGUGUCGUAUAAAUAACUAGGACCUAAUUUUUCAUCUUAUUUAUCGAUGAUGAGAUCUACAAUUUUGUUAUAAAAGUCGACAAAUUUUGUUUCUUACAUUUAAGAUUUUCCGAUGGGUAGUUUUAAAAUGAUCAUUUUACGUGUUGAUCAAACUGAUCCGGCCGGGAGAGGCGACAGUUUGAUUUAUACACCAAAGAAAGUUAUGGCUAGGAAUUUUCUUACUGUAUUCGGGCAGAGGGGAGGAAGAGUAUCGGCCACUCUAACUCUUCCGUGCAUUGUCGAAAUAGGUGCGAAGCUCUACCUUAGUCGGGGGUCGUGUCAGGCAUUUGUCGGAACGCUUAUCGCUCCACCCUAAUUCCCAUGUAAACACAGACGGCGAUCGAUAAGGUAAUGUAGCGUCAGUUGGACGGGCUAAGCUCUCUCUCUACCUCUCCCAUCCGUGACCGUAUCCGAUCCCCUGGCUUCUUUGCGUCCCCUUGAACUGGCAUGGCAUUCUUUGACUUCACUCGAGUGUGACUGCAGCUCGAAAGGUCGUGCGGACCAUCGAUCAACUUCGACUCACCUGUCCAUUAACUCUUUUCCGCUCGGUUAUUGGUCACAUCUUUAAGGUAUUCGAACACCAUCCAUAUCGACAGGGAGGAGAGCACUUGGCAUUCUACUCCUAUAAUUUAAUUACCACAUUCGUAACUAGACGCAUUUUAGUGGAAACCGCGUAGCGAUCUUUUCGGGUUCUAACUGGAUAGUUUGGAAAAGUACUCGCUGGCGUAAUACAAAAAUGCUUACAGAUUCCUCUACCCGAACUACAUCUAUGUGGAAAUAAUCGGAAAAAAAUUUAAAACAUAGACGACGUAAAUCCAAAAGUUUAAUUCUUCAGAAUCUAAUAAAUUUAAUAUAAAACAGAAUAAUUUGAUAGAAGGUGCUAAGCGUAAGGAAUUAGUCGGCCGUCGAGCAAAAACUUGCUGAAUUUUUAAAGUCAUAUACGCGCCAGCCGAAUGGAAUUUUUUAAAAGUUAAUUUUGAUACGAUUUUUUUUUUUUUUUUCAAUUGUUACCUAAAACCAAACCGGAACAGUGAUAAAUGAAGGGAUUUAAAUUCAACUCGAAGUUUAAUCGGUACUUUUUUCGAAAUAAUUUCUAUGCCAGAAGUAGUUGUUGGUAGUCUAUAUAUGUAUCGAUGAUUUUCUAAAAUAGAAUUUCUUGGUCGUAUCAAUAAGAGAUUUCACGUGGGUCCAUAUAUUUCGAAAAUUUUGAAAAUUAUGGCGUUUUCCAGGCGUGGAAAUGAGAAAAAGUAAAAGAUAUAUCCGGAUGGAUAGAUAGAGUAUACUGAAAGAACCACAGAAAUGGAUGGACGUUUUUGAAGAAUGGCCAAAGGUAAGGAAACCGGCUCAAUUGCGAUUAAGGUAAUUUUCUGCACAGGAUGAUGACGAAUAUGGCGUGAGGCGUUUUAUUGCUACCGUAACUUAUUACUCUAUAGAUCUAAUUAGAAGUUUGUUAGAAUAGAUACAAGUAUGCGCGCAUGUUUUAUUUAUUACCAUACUUUCGGUCGAAUAUAAUUUUAUCUAAGCCAGCCACUUAACAACGCACAAAUUAAAUUUACAUAUAAUAAAAGCCAAGAAUGAAAGCUCUAGUUCAAUUUUUAAAACAUUAAAGAUGGAUAAUUUUUCCUUCUUCUUCUCUAAAGGAAGGUAAAAUAAUAAUCCGUUAAUUCUAAUAACCGAAUUUAAUAUUAUUUUUAAAGUCGUAGAGCAAAAUAUGAUGAAAAAUCCAAAAGCAACUUUCGAUUGGGAGAGAUCAAACGAGGUGGAAAUGGAAGAAGCAUCGCACAUAAUCCGAUCAAAGAGAAAGUUGUUUACAGUGGAACUUAUGGUCACACUCCAUAGAUCCAUCUCUAACUCCGGCUCUUCUUAUAAGUCGUUAAAGGAAAACUUCAAUUCCUUUGGGUUAUUGUUAUUUAUCUCUGGCGAGCCAUAAGAUUUAACUCUCUUCAUGCAAAAGCGGAAAAGGAAAUUUGCUGGAAAACGCGAUUCCAAAACGACAAACCUCGCUUUUGAAAAUUGGACGUAAAUAUUAAUAACUAUUUAAAACAAGAACGGCAUAAAAGUAUAUCUCUCUGAUGAGCAAAUCGGGUAAUUUGAUAGAAUCCAUCAGAGUCGCUUUAUGCUCGGUCUUCUGGGACAAAUGUACCAUAAUCAAUAACGGGCGCACAAUCUUUUUUUUUUUGUUCCGAAAAAUAAUGUUUAAGCUAUCACAUUUCGCCAGUUCUUCUCCGCUUAUAUAGAAAAAAUAUAUAUAUAUAUAUACGCACACAUACACACUGCAUUUCUCUGUUCGGAA
rnacentral:lncRNA from 1 species